UACAGAGGGGCAAGCGUUUGUUCGGAAUUACUGGGCGUAAAGGGCGCGUAGGCGGCCGCCUAAGUCAGACGUGAAAUCCCUCGGCUCAACCGGGGAACUGCGUCUGAUACUGGAUGGCUUGAGUUCGGGAGAGGGUUGCGGAAUUCCAGGUGUAGCGGUGAAAUGCGUAGAUAUCUGGAGGAACACCGGUGGCGAAGGCGGCAUCCUAGGACCGACACUGACACUGAGGA
rnacentral:rRNA from 1 species